UUUUCCGGUGUCAUGGCGGACUUAGAGACAGACUUUUGCUAGAUUUUCAAAAUUUGUUUACUUUACGUUUGUUAUGUAAUAUAUUGUAUUAAACCGCAGUAAAAUAUUCACAAAACAAUAAAGAUGCCCGUAUAUUUGCGAAAGAAUGUUAGCUAUACGCCUCCUUCGCUGGACAAAAUUCCAGCCGAAGUUGAGGAUGAUUUUAUGAAUGAUCCAGACCUUCAAACCGACUCAUUGCCACAACCAUAUCGCAUGAUUGACAAAACCUUGAGGGGUCUGUUAGAUGAAACAUGGGACGUUAUUGCAGAACGUGAGGCAGAGCGUGUUGCUGAAGCAAAUAAGGUUCGCCCACCACAAUAUGUGUCAUCAGUGCAACUGGAUACAGUGGUUCCAAACACUCAGCAUCCAGAAAAACAGAAACUGUGCUACGCAACAUGCAUGUGCAGUUCAGAAGAUGGUCAAUACAUCUUUAUCGGUUUGCCCUGUGGAUUUGUGGCCAUAGAGGCAGUCAAUCACGCAAUUGUGGCAUCAUGGGAGGAGGAAGGGGCCGAGUUCAGUUUUAUAAAGUCGUACUUAUUGGCUCCACAGUGCCACCUUGUAACGGCCAUUGAUGAUAUGGGAAUUGGAAGAUUAUUUGCAGUUACAUACAACAAGAUAUUUCUUAUCAAGGUUUUAAACCCACAUUCACAGGAUUCUGAUAGCAAAAUACUCAUGAGCAAGAUAGACGCCUCAAACUCGGGGGACUACGUCGGCACAGUAAUGGAAGUUGGUGGUGGUCAGGACAUAUGGCUGGAAAUCUACAAGCUACCUAGGGACACAUGGGUUACUGACCUAGAAACCAUAGUUACAGCCUUGAAAAAGAAGGAAGAGAAGGAAAAAAGAGACGAGGCUACUUCUGAGGAGACUGAAUCAAUUGCCCCAUCAGAACAUGCUCCAAGUAAGGCAGACACAGACGAACCAAGCGUUGUGUCCAUGCCACCGCAAGACACUACUGAUCAGUUGCAACAGAGUUCACGUCCAGCUAGUGCUACCUCUAAACUCGACUCAGAUCGAUCUGCACAAGCGGGCGACGUGAAUUUAGAUCAAAUCCGGGAGUCAGACCCAUUGUCUGGGGAAUACAAGUUUGGGGCACCACAGCUGAUAAUGAAAGUGAAACCACCCCCUCAGUUAAUUCCAGCGGUGUCGGUAUCAAAUCUUCACGGCUCCUGUCAGAAGGUGGAGCCUGGCGAUGUGGUUGCUACGGGAACCAACGUGCUGUUCACUCAGAACCACCUGGAUCUGCGAAAGUCUGUGUUCACGCAUCUCCAUGACAACCUGGCCAAGUACCAGACAGAGGAUGAUGAGGGCGUAACUGCACAGCAACAUCCUAAUUUCCACUUCAUGGGGACUGGGAGAAUGUUGCCCCUGGGCCUUGAACAAGCCAGCCUUGAGGGGCGGUCAACAUGUGUAGCAGUAUGGUGGCCAGGGUCGACUAAUUUCAUGCAGUACUCACUGAUUAAGACAUCCAAAGAUAUUGAGUUCAAAGCAGACCUGGUUUGGCCUUUCACCAAUAGGAUCACAUGCUCUGCAGUGUCUCCAGAUACAAACAUUCUGGCGGUGGGCUUGGAAAAUGGAAAUGUUGUCAUCUGGGACCGCUAUAUGGGCUGCCAGCGGGGUGUUGUUAACGUCAAUGAGACAUCCCCCGUUGUCAAGCUGAUGUUCCUUGACCCCGCCCUGUACCCUCAGGACAUGGGAGAUUAUCCCCCCUACAAGCAGGCAACUGGCACAUACGUUCUAGCCAUGUGUGCUAACAGCGCACUCUAUACCAUAUCUACGGGAGCGAAUAUUCCACUUCAAGUCAACACUAUUUUGAUGCCAGUGGAGAAAGAUGAUGACACAAUAACAGUGCUGCAGCCAUUUGUGAAGCAUCCUGAUUUGUUGUUGACGGUGACUCGUCGUGGCGACAUCCAGAUUCGUGACUGUCUCCAGGGCAACAUCGUCUGCCAGGUGCAGGUGCCAGACACCCAUGAGAUCACGUCACCGUGGGAACCAGUGCUGUCUUUAGGAGGGCUGGGUCAGAGCAUGUAUGUCAAAGCAACAAAGAAGAUGUCAGAAGACACUAGUGAGAUAGACGGGAACUCGUCGCUGCAGGACGGUCUGGUGUUUGUGUACGCGCUGCGCUCAUUCCCCUCUCUAGACGAGUUCUGGAAGAUACAGCGCUCCCCUCAACCCCUCACAGUGCAUGUCACAGUGAAACAAAGAUCAGAGGCACUGCUGGCUAACAGAUUGGCCCAGGCAGGUGCCCGCAAGAUACUGAUGCAGGAGCGCUGGUCAAAGAUGAAAGAUGAGAUUAACAACCUCCACCAGCUCAAAGAGGUCGCUAGGCUCAACGCUGCCAAACGGACGCUAGUGCGUUUCCAAUCUAUUCCCUACCCCCAUUAUGAGUGGGCGGAGUCUAAACUUUGCAGGUGCGCGUGACGUCACUCGUCAACUGGUCUAUAGAAUCUCUGCCUCUCCCAUAGCAAUGGAAACUGAAAGACUCCUGGGUCCGUUGGCCUGCCUGUGAAACCGUUUGCCUGACAAAAGACUGCAGUCCUUCGAGAUCAUUAUCAACAAACAAAUGCUGUGAUCUAUUACUGUGAUAGGAACUUUUGUACUGAAAAUCUGAAAAAUUAUUCCUUUUUAAGCAAAGAUAUUUAUGCAUUUUGACUAGGAUUAUGUAUAAAUAUAAAUAUGAAUAAAUUUACUACAAAGAAAAAUUGUAGUUCACACAUUGUAUUGUAUUGAAAAGAUAGCAUGCACACUUUUGUCAUGUUAUAUCAGAAAAUGUUUUUGAAGUUAAGUUUAUAAUUGUUCUUUCACAAGCUUUUACUUAUUUGAAACAUUUUUUUGAAUAUAUACUCUUGAGCUAUCCCCUGGGAAAACUGGGCUUAAUGCAUGAUCGUAAAGUAAUAUCCCAUAUUAGAGUGGUAUGCAUAGGUCGAUCAGGGGCUCCACUUUCCGCUUUUAUGGAAUGUGUGUUUAAAGGAAGCAUCUUAUAAAUGAAGAUCAAGCCUAGGCAGAAAGUUUCCUCCCACAUUUGCCUUUUGCUGACUGCACAGGCUAAUCACGGACAAUACUUUAUUCAUAUUACAUGCAUUUAGCCCAGUUUUACCAGAGACAGGCACAUUCAAAUAAACUGCCACUGCCAACUAUCCAUGGGCCCAUCUGUUAGUGAUGAUACAAUUUAUCAACCUCCGCGCAGUGAUUUGACGGGAACCAGCAUAGCUGGUAUGUGAGAGCAAGGAACGACAACUCUGCAUGGAGAUUGACAAUUUAUAUGUACAAUAAUUAUGCACCAAUCAUAAUAAUCAGUCAAGUUCUGUAAGUUCCUCUUUUAAUUGUCCUUUAUUUUAAAAACUUAAUGAUUAUUUGUUAAUUUGAACUAAAAACAGUCAAGACUAUAUAAGUUGAUGUAAGACAGAUGAUAAAACAGGGUCCAGUGCCUGUAUUCAUCAACCAAUUCUAAGACUGAGUCACAGAAUAAAGCACAUUCUUUAAACUGUAAUGCUAAAAUAGCUAUAUAUUGUCAGUCAAACUUGGUAUUCAGCAACUCAGAUUAAAGUACUUUUUUCAGAAAAAUGGUCAAAUCAUAUGAGAAACAUUCACCAGGCAGCUAGUAUUACAUGUAUUCAAGAAAUCUCACCUAUGUCAUAGUGUACUGGUAUUCAUUAUUCUCAUGUCUAA